rnacentral:rRNA from 1 species
CUACGGGCCGCACCAGUGAGGAAUAUUGUACAAUGGGGGGAACCCUGAUGCAGCAACGCCGCGUGGAGGAUGACGCAUUUCGGUGUGUAAACUCCUUUUAUAUGUCAAGAAAAUGACGGUAGCAUAUGAAUAAGCACCGGCUAACUCCGUGCCAGCAGCCGCGGUAAUACGGAGGGUGCAAGCGUUACUCGGAAUCACUGGGCGUAAAGGACGCGUAGGCGGGUUGGAAAGUCAGGUGUGAAAUCCUACAGCUUAACUGUAGAACUGCACUUGAAACUUCUAAUCUAGAGUAUGGGAGGGGGAGAUGGAAUUAGUGGUGUAGGGGUAAAAUCCGUAGAUAUCACUAGGAAUACCUAAAGCGAAGGCGAUCUCCUGGAACAUUACUGACGCUAAGGCGUGAAAGCGUGGGGAGCAAACAGGAUUAGAUACCCCCGUAGUC